GACGAACGCCGGCGGCGUGCUUAAUACAUGCAAGUCAACUUGACUUUAGAUAGCAAUAUCGAAAAGUAGGGUGGCGCACGGGUGCGUAACGCGUAGGUAAUCUGCCCUGAGGUCUGACAUAACCCGUCGAAAGGCGGGCUAACAUCAGAUGAUAUAUAAUCACGACAUCGUGGAAAUAUCAAAUCUUCGGAGCCUUGGGAUGAGCCUGCGUCUGAUUAGGUAGUUGGCGGAGUAAUAGCCCACCAAGCCUACGAUCAGUAGCUGGUCUGAGAGGAUGAUCAGCCACACUGGAACUGAGACACGGUCCAGACUCCUACAGGAGGCAGCAGUAAGGAAUAUUGCUCAAUGGGGGAAACCCUGAAGCAGCAACGCCGCGUGAAGGAUGAAAUACUUUUGUAUGUAAACUUCUGUAAGAUGGGAAAAAUAUUCUCCUCGGGAGAAUUGAUUGUACCAUCAGAGUAAGCCCCGGCUAACUACGU
rnacentral:rRNA from 1 species